rnacentral:rRNA from 1 species
UACGGAGGGGGCUAGCGUUGUUCGGAAUUACUGGGCGUAAAGCGCACGUAGGCGGCUUUAUAAGUCAGAGGUGAAAGCCCGGAGCUCAACUCCGGAACUGCCUUUGAGACUGUCAUCGCUUGAACACGGGAGAGGUGAGUGGAAUUCCGAGUGUAGAGGUGAAAUUCGUAGAUAUUCGGAAGAACACCAGUGGCGAAGGCGGCUCACUGGACCGUUGUUGACGCUGAGGUGCGAAAGCGUGGGGAGCAAACAGG